rnacentral:rRNA from 1 species
ACGAACGCUGGCGGCGUGCCUAAUACAUGCAAGUCGAACGGUCUUUCUAUGGAAGCUUGCUUCCACUGAGAAGAUAGUGGCGAACGGGUGAGUAACACGUGGGUAACCUGCCCAUAAGAGGGGGGAUAACAUCCGGAAACGGGUGCUAAUACCGCAUAGUUUUCUUGAUCGCAUGAUUGAGAAAGGAAAGACGGCCUUUGUGCUGUCGCUUAUGGAUGGACCCGCGGCGUAUUAGUUAGUUGGUGAGGUAACGGCUCACCAAGACGAUGAUACGUAGCCGACCUGAGAGGGUGAUCGGCCACAUUGGGACUGGGACACGGCCCAAACUCCUACGGGAGGCAGCAGUAGGGAAUCUUCCGCAAUGGACGAAAGUCUGACGGAGCAACGCCGCGUGAGUGAAGAAGGUUUUUCCGGAUCGUAAAACUCUGUUGUCAGAGAAGAACAAGUUGGAGAGUAACUGCUCCAGCCUUGACGGUAUCUGACCAGAAAGCCACGGCUAACUACGUGCCAGCCGCAGC